rnacentral:rRNA from 1 species
GAAUAUUGGACAAUGGGCGAAAGCCUGAUCUAGCCAUGCCGCGUGUGUGAAGAGGGUCUCCGGAUUGUAAAGCACUUUAAGUUGGGAGGAAGGGGUUGAAGCUAAUACCUUUAAUCUUUGACGUUACCAACAGAAUAAGCACCGGCUAACUCCUUGCCAGCAGCCGCGGUAAUAAAGAGGGUGCAAGCGUUAAUCGGAAUUACUGGGCGUAAAGCGCGCGUAGGUGGUUCAGUAAGAUGGGUGUGAAAUCCCCGGGCUUAACCUGGGAACUGCUUUCAUAACUGCUGAGCUAGAGUACGGUAGAGGGUAGUGGAAUUUCCUGUGUAGCGGUGAAAUGCGUAGAUAUAGGAAGGAACACCAGUGGCGAAGGCGACUACCUGGACUGAUACUGACACUGAGGUGCGAAAGCGUGGGGAGCAAACAGG